GUAAUAUAUAAAUAUGUAAAAUAAAUCAAAAGCAAACAUGUACUGUAAGCUGUGAGUCCAGUUAUUAAUGACCAUUUAAAAUAUCUCAAAUAUUUUUCAAAUCCAUCUGGGAUACUUUAAUUAGUCUGAUUUCAUUAUAACUAUGUGCUAGUAGACCUUGCUGAAAAAAUGAAUGAAUAACAAUAGAAACCAUCACAGAAAUUCUAAUGGUGUCUACUACAAAUACCAUUACAAACCAUCAGCUAACCAUUAAAACCAUUACCAUUAUUGGCCCUUAAUUUCUACUAGUAUCUACUAGACAUGCCACCAAUAGAAGGCAACAAAUUACUAAUAGAGACCCACAGGGAUCAUUACACUUUCCAUUAAAACCAAUACAAUUCCCAUUAAAACCAUUACUAUGAGGGUUUCUGUUGUUUUUUUUUCAGCAGGGGAAAGCUUAAUUAAACAGUGGUGCUGCAGAAGAGAAGAAAAGAGAAGAGAAGAGAAGAGAAGAGAAGAGAAGAGAAGAGAAGAGAAGAGAAGAGAAGAGAAGAGAAGAUGGAACAAAAUGAUUUUUUUUUCUAAGUGUAAAAGGAAAAGAGCCUGUAGGCCUCUCCCUCGAUGCUAAAGCAUUGUUUUCUGCUCGGCUAAGCAGCAUCGAAUUGAUAUGCUAGCAAUGAUGUGCAGUGACAAUUAAAUUGUAACUGACCUGCAUGUAACCAUCAUUAUGCCUUCUAUCUUUACUGCCAUCCCUGUUAUUUAAUCACACAGCAUGUGGGCUUUUUAUUAGGCAGUAACAACAACAAGACCACAUCCGCCUGCCUAUAAACACUUGACUAUGGGUAUCUAUCAGCUCUUCCAUGAAAGAAGAAAAAAAAAAGGCACAUUUUUCCCCCUGAAAAAGCUGCUACAGAUAAGCCGAGGUAGUCACAUAACAUAGCUACACAACUAAAUAGUGAAUAUUUAUGCAGAAUCCAUAUUCUCUAACAUCAGGAUCCACAGACAUUAUGAUUAUAACAAUGGGGAUGUCUUUAUCUGAUACUUAAAAGGUAAAUCAAUGUCUUCCUAGAAUUCAUAUUAGGAUCCAUAUGAAACAACAGAACUGGGGAAAAAAAGACUACCGAAAAACGAAUGAGGUCUUGCUAUGGGUUUUCUCUCUGAUUCACUCUCUGAGUCACACACACACCCUAACAAACAUCACAACCUUUCUCCAAUGACUGCCGCAUAUUCAUUUGCAUAACAAUUUUCGCUUGUGUUUCUGGUUAGAUGGAAUUCACAGCAUGGUGCCUGCAUUGUGAGUGCUGGGUCAUUGCUAUAUAUAUGUGACAGCGAAGGGGGAAAAAAGCAAACCUCUCACUUUCAUCUACAGGAACACAUACUGUAGGUAUAGUACACACCUCAUACAGAGAACAAUGACUUCAAACAGUCCAGCAAUACGUCCAUAUUAAUAUUCAUGCAAGGGAAACAUGUAUUAUUAUUACUACUAGUAGUAUUAGUAGUAGUAGUAGUAGUCGUAGUAUUAGUGGUAGUAAUAGUAGUAGUUGUAGUAGUAAUAGUAGUAGUAGUAUUAGUCGUAGUAGUAGUAGUAGUAUUAGUAGUAGUACUAGUCGUAGUAUUAGUAGUAGUAGUAGUAGUCAUAGUACUGGUAGUAGUAGUAGUAGUAGUAAUAGUAGUCAUAGUUCUGGUAGUAGUAGUAAUAGUAGUAGUAGUAUUAGUCGUAGUACUACUAGUAGUAGUAAUAGUAGUAGUAGUAGUAGUAGUAGUAGUAGUAUUGGUAGUAGAAGUAUUAGUAGUAGUAGUAGUCAUAGUUCUGGUAGUAGUAGUAAUAGUAGUAGUAGUAUUAGUCGUAGUACUAGUAGUAGUAGUAGUAGUAUUGGUAGUAGAAGUAUUAGUAGUAGUAGUAUUAUAUUAGUAGUAGUAGUAUUAGUAGUAGAAUUGUUGUUGUUGUUGUGUGUCUCUGUCGCUCAAGGAUUACACCUGUGCUUUGUGUCUGUUCAUAAGCAUGAAUAGUGUGACAGUUGCAUUAAAUAAGAGGUGCUUACUCUCUCUUGAAUAAUCUUUCACAAAAAGAUUCUCAGGGGAAAAAAGAAAUGGUACAAAGCCAUGGCAGCAUUUGUGUAUAUAUUUAUAUAUAAUAUAUUUAUUUGAGGAAAAUAAAAGCCUGAAAACACACAAUCAAUAACGCCAGAGUCGAAGAUGCAUGUCCCAAAAGACUAACACAAUCAGGAAUUAACCUGUAAAGGCUGGAAAAAGGUAAAAAGCUCUAAAAAAAAAAUCAGAUAUUUGUAGAAUGGAACCUGAGUAGCAUGUGCUGCACAAUUUUAUUCAGGUCAAGGUAUAUGUAAAAGGUUAGUUGUAUUUGCAUGUUUUCUAUUUAUAGAGUGUCAAAAUUGUGUCAAAAUUCAGUCACCUGCCACUUUAAUAGUAACACCUGUACAUCUGCCCAUUCAUGCAUUUUUCAAGUCAGCAAAUGUGUAAUGCAUAAACUCAUGCAGGUACAGGUCAAGAGCUUCAGUUAAUGUGUACAUCAAACAUCAGAAUAGGGACAAAUGUGACCCCAGUAACUUUGACUGUGGCAUUGUUUUUGGCCUGGCUGGGAUGAGUAUUUCUGAAACUGCUGAUCCCCUGGGAUUUUUGGGCACAACAGUCUCUAGAGUUCAAACAGAAUGUUACAAAAUAAAACCCAUCCAGUGAGCGGCAGUUCUGCAGGAGUUCUGCCCUGUGACAAGAGAGGUCAGAGGAGAAUGGUCAGACAGGAUUUAGCUGAUAGGAAGGAUGCGGUCACUCAAAUAACCACUCUUUACAACCAUGGAGAGCUGAAAAGCAUCUCAGAAUGCACAACACUCCUGUCAGCCAAGAACGGGAAUCUGAGGCUACAGUGGGCACAGGCUCACCAAAACUGGACAGACGAAUAUUAGAAAAAAUAUCAUCUGGUCUUGACCUGCAUUAUUUUAUACACUGCUCUGCUGUCACAUGAUUGGCGUAUUUAAUAAUUGUGUGAAUGAAUUGCAGGUGUUCCUGCAAUAUUAUCAUUUUAUCAACAAAAACAUUUACCAAAAUUUUCAGGACCUUAUAGCAGAUUGUUAGCAGCUACAACCGCUUGGGUGAAAAGUAUCAUUUUUUUUAUAAACUCUCUGAUUUGAGUCCUGAGAAUUUAUCUCUCUCAUUUUUUUCCUUCCAUACUCAUUGCUUCUUGUCUUUUCUCUUGCUUUAAUUCUUCUAAUUUUUCUCAAUUGUUCCAUUUCCCUGUCUGUCAAAUAUUCAAAGACAAAUCAUUAUCAGUGUGGAAAAUGAAACAGAAGAAAAGUGUUUCAUUGUAUUUAGCAUAGCUCCUUUUGUCAGGAAUUUCAGACAAGAACUUAGAGUGCGGCUGUAGAAACUAAUGAUCCUACUACUGAAAUACGAUAAACCAUCUUGAGUAAAUGCAAGAACUGUUUAAACAAUUAUACAUAAAAUUAAUAUGCUUAACUCUGAAAUGGAUUUAUGUAUUGGUGAGAUUGAGCAAUCCAAUGAGAACUAUAAUAUUAUUCAUAAAAAGCAGUACUUCCAUAGCCAGGAUUACAUAUUCACAGAGAGAAUGUCUUCCUUGGCUUGUUGGUCAGAAAAUAAGUAUCAGCAUGCAUGGCACUUACAUGACGCUUGUCAGGAAUAUUUUCUGCAAAAGCUAACAAAAAGAAAGAACAAUUCUUGCUCCACCAAAUGUACUAUACUAUACGACUAUUAUAAGUCAAAAAGGCAAAUAUAAAAGUAAUCAAUCAGUGACCAAAUGGUAAUAAUUGAAAAUAGUUAAUGAAAUUGAAAUAGAAUUCAAAUAAUAUGUAUAUUUUUACACUUGAACAAUUCCACAAGAUUAAUUGUUAAUUAAUUGCUAUUACUGUGUGGGCUGACCAGUGGGGUCAUGAGACCAAGACGCAGACUCCACUUUCAUUUUAUGAAUAUCACAGACUCUAUCUUUGUAGCCACAUCAAUACAGAUGUGCUACUAUUUGGAAAUGUUAAUGGGAACAACAUGUAAAUAAAGCGUAUAUGUGUUUUUUAGUCUUUUUUUUCUUACAAGCUGCACUAGCGAAGAAGUUCAGCAAUAAAAUGGUGUAUGAUUCUGAGUGAAACAACAUAAACCAAGAAAUUGAACAUAAAAAUAUGUCAAAACAUUUACUGAAUACAUCUGGUGGUGGUCACUGCUUGGGGUUGCAAAAAAAUGUCCAUUUGUUUUUGUUUGAACAAAAAAUUUGAGAACCACUGUGUGGAGGUGAGCGUGUGGUCGAGCGCCGGUUUGCGAAUAGAGGGCGGAGCCAGUAAAACUAAAUGAUAAUGAUCUACACUUGUGUGCGAUUGCUCUAGCAUGUGUUACAUUACAUUUACAUCUAUUCAUUUAGCAGACGCUUUUAUCCAAAGCAACUUACAAGUGAGGAAAUACACUCAGUUCUGUGUUUCAGUGAGCGGCAGCAAGUAUAAAGUGGGGAGAGAUGAGUGCUUUAGUUGCAAGAAAGGAGCUGGCUGUGCUGAUCAGCUUUCUCUCUCUCUCUCUCUCUCACUCUCUCUCAGCGUCUCUCCCCACUUUAUCCUUGCUGCUCUGCACUGAAACACAAAACACAUGUUAGAGCAAUCCAGCACAACUGUAGAUCCUUACCACUAACUUUUCCCGGCUCUGCCUUCCAUUCAAAAACCAGUGCUCGACCACGCCCCCGCCUCCACACACUGGUCUAGGCCAUUGAAGGGUUGGUCAAAUCUCAGAACGGCAAACUACUCUGUUGCUCUGGAUAAAACAUAAUUUGCUGCAUAGAAAUGCAUUGCACAGCUCUUUCCAGUAUACACUUCAAAUCUUUCAUUGCCACAUAUGCAUGCUAAAAGAGAAAGUACUCAACAGGCAUACAUGUCUUGCAGAGCUCAUUGGUAAGUUGACCUUCUCUUGCAUAGUUAACCUAGCUGUUUAAAGGAAAAAAUAUAUAUAUUUGCUUAGAUAAUGUCGAGGCUAAGUCUCACAAGUGUUUGAAAUUCUGUCCAGCUUUUAAUGGCCACUCAGGAAAAAUACUGAAUAAUAUAUUCAUCAAUACGCUUCGCUUCAUAUGAUUCUACACUAUAAAUGUUAUAUACUCGUUUGCUAAGAUAUCUUCCAUGGCUUUUGGAGGGUGUACAGUAUGAGUAUAUGUGGAUUUUAAAAAUGAUGCUUUGUUCAUGCUCAUCUUUUAGUUAAUGAUACUGAUUGAUACUGAGGAUAUGUCGUGAUGUCAUUUUGUCACGAACUAUCCAAGAUGGCAGCACGUUAAGCAUGUCACAGACAAUUGUUUGACUGUGAAGUGUUCAGUGAUAACUGCGUUGGAAAUGUUAUUAUAGUGUCUUUUAAAAAUCCACUUUAAUGUUUGAAUUCCACAUAUUCGAUCUUGUGUAGCAAACCGUUUGGUUUUGCUGCUGUAAAAGAAAACUCACUUCAACCUUGAGUAUUUUAUUUCACUUUUUCGAGCCUCCAUUUUCCAAUGGUACAGGAAAAUCACUUUACAUGGACUGAACCAGAGAAACAUUUAACAUGGACUGUACUGGAGUCAAACUUUCCCUGGACUGUUCUGGAACAACCCCUCCCUGGCAGGCCUGGGCUGAAUCCCCAGUUCCCUUUGCAGAGUGAUGGGUCUGACCUGCUUCGCUGAACCGCCGCCUCCAUACAAACAGAUUACUUCACUCAUUCCUUCUGAGAAGUCAGUGGUUGUGGUGCUACUCUGCAUACUGACUUUGGUAGACCCAGGCAUAAACGGUUGUUGUCGCUGGGUGAGUAAAUCUGACAAUGUACUUUCCCCUGCUGUACACAUUCUGUCUUCAUUCCGAACUUGUCUUUUAUUGCUAGGUCCAUUUGGCUCAUGUACCUAUGCGAUUGUGUCAGGAUAUGAAUAUUAUAAACUUUUCUUGUUACCCAAGCCUACGGUUCUAUAUGACUGUUUUGUAUUGUCAGGGAAAUCCCUGGUUGAGAAAUCCCUUCUCCUCUGGUACCAACAAUCAUGCCACGGUCACUGAGAUCACAUUUUUCCAACAUUCUGAUGGUUGAUGUGAACAUUAACUGAAGCUGCUGUGCCUUAUCUGCAUGAUAUUAUUCACUUUGCUGCUGUCACACAAUAGUGUGGUAAUUGCAUGAAUGAUUUGGUGUACAGGUGUUCCUAAUAAAGUGCUCUGUUAGUAUAAGUAUAUAAUGUUGCUUUUGUGGAGUGAAAUGUCUUCAGUAAAACAAAUUGUGAAGGAUAUCUGAAGUACAGUAACAUCUUUCAGAAAAGAACAGCAGCAUUUCCCACUCUUUAUUUGCAAAGCCUUUUUGAAUGGAUUUCAUAAGGGUUGCUAUUAUUUGAGGGGGAAAUGAUAAAAAGUUAUCUGCAGUUUAAAAUUUCCUAGGAGCAAUUAUCCAUUCACAAGGCAUCCUGGAGAAAUAAAGGCCCCCUGAUUGGCCCCUUCAUGCAUGACAGCAACAGAACAAUGGUAUGGUAAAGUUCUACACACAGAGGAACACGGCUGAUUCCCCACACAUCCGGCUGGGCAAACUGACACUGACACUGACACUCACAUACACAUGCGCACACACAUUUAGAAAAACUGAGAAAACACUCACUGGAGGCCAGGGUAAUGACAAAAACGAGCUCCUUCUACAAAUACGACAGUUCUUUCUCUUUUACUUGCUCACUUCAAAUUUCCCUGUCCUCCUCUGUGAUCCUGGUCAGGGAGCUUGUUAUAUAUCUAUAGAUCCAUAAUAAGCAGGGAAGAGACUACCUCCCGUGUGUUUUAAUUUGACUUGAAAACCAUCUUCAGUGCUGCCUGGGCUUUUAAUAGUUAUUCACUUACAAAUUAUUGCAGGUCAUUACACAGUCAUUGGGAGGGCAGUAAUGAGAUUGGCUUAAUGGCUUUUGUAGAACAUUGCUGUAAACGAUAGGGAAAAGUUCCCCUCAGUAAGUUUUUAUGAUUAUUCCAUAUGAGCUACGUUUGUUUAAGCCCAUAUUAGUGUAAAAAAAAAAAAAAGAAGAAGGGUAGCAAUCUUCUUAAUCAAAUGUGAUUUAUUAUAGCAUUAGUUCUUUCUGCUCUCCAAAGCAAUCAUCAUAUCAAGAGAGAGCGAAAGCCAGAGAAUGAGAGAGACUGCAAAUCUCAUGGUCCUUCUAGACAAAUAUUGUAUUAAUAUUUGGUCAUGUUAAUUCUGCUUUCAGCCCCUAUUUUCAUCACAAUUUAACUGUGGCCAAUGACAGGAGGCGUAAUCAUCUGAAGAUGUGAAUGAGCUCAUAUUUAUUAGGAGCCGGCACGGACGCUAACCGAGACAGCUAAGCACCCAGUCGUCCUUAUCGCUAUUGAUGUUCAAGGCUGACAAGUAAAUUAAAUUUACCUUUGGAAAUUGUUCUAUUAGUAUUUUUUAUUAGGUUAAUUAAGCAAGCUCUGGGGACUCAUUGAAUUGGUGAGAUAUUAGAUUAAUUCACUGUUCUCUGCAUGCUGGAGGACUGGGACGGUAAUCCCCGUACUGCCAUCCUCCUACAGAGCUUCACAUCGCUGGUGAGCCACACCACUUCAUUAGUUGCUCCUGUAAGAUACACCGUACCAACAAUUACUCCCACACCUCCACACCAGCCUGUUCAUGGGAGUGAAGGAAGGGGGGAUCUGAGGACUUGAUUCACAGUUAGGUUAAAAGUGGCUAAAGGAGUAUAUAGAAUUCAGAUUAAUCCAGCCAUAAUUUCAAGGUCUAAUUGAUAAUAACACCACCCCUUAUUCCUGAGUGAAGUACUUAUGAAGACAAGUCUGGAUAAUACUCUUAGAUGUGUGAUGGGUAUAAUUUAAGUAGAUGAACUAGUAGCCACUCAACCUGUGUGUGUCACCGCUAAAUGCUUUUAGUGCUGAAGGUCUGUGAAGACAUUAGAUUGUCCUGCAGGUGGUCGAAGCAGAUACAGUGGACCAGGGCAACACGGACCUGCCCUCCCAUGAUGGAAGCACUAUUGAUUGAUUUAGAAAAAAUACCCUCUGAUAGAGAAGAUUGCUCAUUGGAGUGGAACGUCAUGUGCCACUGAUGUACCACCUCUCAAUCAGCCGGCACCUGAUCGACCGGGUUGGCUGAAGCAUCUUCGCCUCUCAUCCCACUUAAGGCCAGCUUGUCAAUUGGUCUCUCUAGCCCUUCUUCUUUAGAAAGAAAAAAAUGCCACAGAGCCAGAAUCCUGACUCUGCUGGCUCCUGCAGUGAUGGUUGUGCUUCAUCAGGAACAGCUCUUAUUUAGCUACAGUCAAAAACAAAUCACGCCCCAUUCAAGUGCCAUAGCUGCCUGGUUUGUGCCUGGAGGAAAUCAAAUUUGUAUUUUUAGAAGGAUGAAAACAAACCACCUUGAACGAUUGAACUUAUUUGGCACCCUGAUAAACUCUAAAGAGCUGUGGGAUUGGAAAGUUUGGAUUUCAUCUAGUCCUGAAUAGCAUGAAUAGCCACACACACCAACUCUGUUUGUUCAUUCAGUGUAAUUGCAUGCAUGUGGAGAACUCAGACAAGAGUACAAAGCGAAGAGAGGUGAAGACGAUAUUGCUGAAUUGUUUCACCACUACAUUGGGCCUCUUCAUGUUUGUGCUAAUGAGAGGAAGGGCCACUGGGUGCACACAAACCCUGCCUCAAAACAGACAGCAGGACCCAGUCACUCUGGGUCUUUCACUCGCUACAUGGUGUGCUGAGUUUGUAUUUUUAAUUAAAUCAUUUAAAUGUCCUCAGAGUUGGUUUAGUAAAGCUAGACAACAGUUUAUCCUUGGGGUUUUAAGAAGUGUCACAAGCAAUUUGGUUCUGUAUUUGAAUCUUCAGGGUGAAUCAGACAUUUAUUAAAUUUAAUGUCCACUAGUCUGCUGUUUCAAAUCUUCAUUUCUUGAGGUUUGACUUUCUUUUGCUCCACAAAUUUAGUCUGGCAUUAACCCGUUUAGAAGCCAUUUCUCUGGCCAUUUCUUAAUCUGACCAAUAAGUGUCUUCUAAUGAGAUAAAAAUAACUCAGUUGUUGAUGUCAACUAAAUGCACAAAUACAGGGCAUGAAAAUCAGCAAUGAAGUCAAUAAAAUGAUGCACUAUGUUGACUCGAACAAAAUGCCAGACUCAACAGUAAGGUGAAGAGUCUAAAUAAACAAGGUGAAAGCUCACAGCAUUCAAGAAAAUUUGAUCUGAGCCAGUGUAUAAGCAGUCAAAAGUCAUCCUAUAAAGGAAAGCUUACAUUACUGUGUAUUCCAACACAGUCCUAUUUCUGUACAUAAAGUUUAAGCAGCAAAAAGUUUGCAGAAGUACCUUCUCAGCAAAAAAAGGUCAAUAAGAGAUAAAGAUAUUUUGGCUUUUCCAUAUAAAAAGGAACAAUGUUUUUCUCAGGUUUAGCAAUCUUGAUCAAGAUAAAUACUAAUAAAAAAAAAAGUUGGACCUAUUAGUUAUACCGAGUCUACUCCAAGCUGCACCUUUUCCCAACCUCGCUAGAAACACACAAUGCUUAAUAAUUGAUUCAAAUUGAUUUUAGCCCAGCCCUGACCUGGGUAAAAAGGUUUGGCCAAUAGCAUCCGUGCGUCAGGGAAAUGGGGGGAAAAAAACAGGACAGCACCAACUUUAAAAGCUCAAGACGUGUAGUACAAAUAAAAUAUUUAGGCUGCAGAAGCCUUGACCUCCCUAUGCUAGCCGGCUCCUAACGUGAAUUGAUUUCUGACAACGCAACUGGGACCCAAUUACAACAAAAUGCACUAAAGCUGACCUGUUGCACUUCCCAACAUUUAUGCUAGCUUAACCUCCCAAAGUGACCAAGAAUGGACAGAAUGUGUUCCACACACUCGCUUAUAUUUGACCAGCACUCUCCAUCUAAGAAAUCAUGCCCAAUGUAGACAGAUGCAUUGAGGAAACUCUCAUGUAGCUCAUGUAUCAAGAUAAUGUGCAGGUUUCCUAACCUUUAGCGACAAUUAUAGUAGACCUAAUGAUGUGCAAUGUUGCUUUCCCAUGGUUUGGCCUUGAAACCAAGAGAAGGAUUUCUUGGACAAGAGCUUUGGGCAGGAGAGAAAAAGGACAGCACAGAGUUCCAGAUGCACUAGAGAAAAGCUGAUAAUGACGAUCACGGCUGGCCAGUUGGCUCUGCGUUGAUGUAACAUGGCAGCCUGCACACAGUUAAAACAUGGCGGACUUAGAAAAAAUGGAAAAUAAUAAUAAUAAUACUAAUGAAAAUGUAUAACUGCUCUCAAGUGUGAAAAAUUGGUCUCCACUGCUCUUGUGACCUCAUCAUAACAGGAAGUGGACACAAGAAACACCACACUUUGUUACAGAUUAAAUCUUUAAUAGCACAUAGUGUCGACAACAAAUUAUUUUUGGACUAUAUUUGAACGGGUAGGCCAUUCAAUAAAAUAUAUGAGACUAAAAUAAAUAAACAUUAAAAAAAUGCAUAGAUAACUUAUAAGUGUACAAUAAAUCCUUAGCACGUAGCAUAAACAGAUUGUGGCAUCGUAAUAGUUUUAUUUGAACUCUGAUAUAAAGUACAUCAGAUUCAGCACAAGAGGUGAUGUGCAGUACAGUGUGUUCACUUCAUUCACAUACUAAUAAGAGCAUGUUAAUCCUGAGUGUCUAUCUUUGGCCACUAGAUUUAACCUACUACUACAUUCUGGAGAUUUAAGGAUCACACACACACAUGAACGCAUACACAUACACACAAAUGUGCAUAUACAAAUGCAUGCACAUCUUCAGAGCUCAUUUGUUUAUUGACUGUGGAACUGAUAAGCACAUUCUAUGGAGGAAAUCAAUCCACUUCAGAUGGCUAUCUCAACCUUUUUCUCAAACUGUCCACACACACACACACACACACACACACUGUGACUAAUAAAUCAAGAAAGGUGAGGCUGGGAAAUGAUACACGUACAUACAUCCACACAGACACACCUACACACACUGAAGCCCCAGUGCAGCAUAGGUAUCAUAAGCUCCAUAGUAAUAUAGUAGUGCAUGUACGUGUGUGUAUGUGCUGUGUGUAUCUGAAUGUGUGUGCAGCAAAACCAGGUCAUUAAUCAUAGACUGGCAAUAGAGGCUGCGUGUGUGGUGCCAGGGUCAAACUGGGGCUAUUAAAGGAAGCCCAGGGACUAGAGCCUCUGUUGUGUUAACCCCCCGUUCCCUGCAGGCUCAGGCUGGACUUAGCCCACAGCUGUCCCUUUCCUCUCUCAUGCCAGCUGCAGGAGAGGAGAAAGAAGAGGAGAGAAAAGAAUAGAGGUGCAGAGAAUCAUCUAUACUGCUAAUCAUGGGUAGGCAAAAAAAGAUAAAAAUCGAUGUUGGCACUACAUAAUACUCAAAAUCUGUAGUGCUGGCCCGAUAGCAUAUGUUGUGCACCUAGAACAUGGCUCCUAAAACAUUUUAAUAUGUCACCUGGGUAAAUCUGUUCUACCUGCAUGUCCAUUCCACUCUAUUCUACGCCUUGUCUAAAACCAUGGUAUUGUAUCAAUACGCUGUCCUGAUUGUUAUGUUAUUGCUCCUUCCUGGGUAGCAUCCUGAUUGUUAGAUAGCAAACGUAUGAUGAAUAAUAAAUGACAUUACUCUUUCUUGUGAAAUGUUUUCAACAAUUAUUAAACAUCCAGUGCAAACAGCAUUGAGUUUUGCAACAUCAGUCAAUGCCUUAAUAGGCCUCCAUUUCUUCCCUGAUGUAUCACUUUAAAUUAAUUGUUCACAAGUAGUUGUGGUGUGAGUACCUUCUCUGAAGGCCACCAGAAGCACAUGAUACAACCCAAUCCUGCAUGCUCAGGAUGAAGAAGAGGGGAAGAGAGACAUAAAGAGACGCUUCAGUGCUCUGUAGAUAUGGGCUACAAUUAUGAUCUGCAGCUACAUGCUGUACUGCAACUUCUCUACGUAGCCAAACUUGAGUUCCGGCCCACUGAGGCUUCACAGAAACCUUUCCAGGGGUUCACUCACACAGAGGACCAGAAACGUUCGUCCAAACAGCAAAAUCAAAGUCUUUUUCUGAACUUUUGAAGGCUUUAAUGUUUUGACAUUUUACGAAUGGUGAACUGCAACUCAGAGAAAUAAAAUCUAUCAUUCACAGUAUGCAAUGAUAUUACUCAUUAUAUCAAUAUGGACUAAUGUAGUAUAGUGUAGUAUGGUAUAGAAUAGACUGGUAUAGUGUAGUGUGUAGUAUAGUGUAAUAUAGUGCAGUGUAGGGGUUAGAUAGAAUACAGUAAUACAGUACAGUAUAGUAUAGAAUAGUAUAGUAUGAUAUAGAAUAUAAUAGUAUAGUAUAGUACAGUAUAGUGUGUAGUAUAGCAUAGUAUGAUAUAGUAUAGAAUAGUACAACAUAGAACAGUAUAAUAUAGUUAUGGAAUAGAAUAGAAUAGUAUAGUAUAGUUAUGGUAUAGUAUAGAAUAGUAUAGUGUAGUACAGUAUAGUGUGUAGUAUAACAUAGUAUGAUAUAGUAUAGUAUGGUGUAGUAUAAUAUGGUAUAGUGUAGUGCAGCACAGUACAGUAUACUAUAGUUAUGGUAUAGAAUAGAAUAGUAUAGUAUAGUGUAGUACAGUAUAGUGUAGUAUAGCAUAGUAUGAUAUCAAAUAGAAAAGUACAGCACAGUAUGGUAUAGUAUAGUAUAGUUAUGGUAUAGACUAGAAUAGAAUAGUAAAGUAUACUAUAAUAAAAAAAUUAUAUUAACAGUGUAAGUUAUAGCAAAUAUAUGGAAUAUAUUAGUUACUGGGUGGUGGACAUGGUGUCAUGCUCAGUGGUCAUUGGUAUAACUUUAAUUCCACUAUGAUAGGAUUUCUCUUUAUUCUCUCUAUCCCUCUCUCUGUCUCUCUGCUCUGUGCCAGCACUCCUUCAACUAAUCCCAAACGGCUCAGUGUUGUCCAAUUAAAUUCCAGUUGACAUGCAUUCAGUGCAGGCGCUACUAUCAGUAAUUUAGCCCUCUUUAUAAGCAAUCUAUUUUUUAAUAUAGGGUCUGAAGAAAACAUUGAAGUAUUGAUCUUUAUUUAUUGAUCUCUCACAAAGCAUAGUUAAGGCCAACACAAAUCAAUCAAAAAGAAAUUUAAAAUGAUUAUAGCGCAUAGGAAGACCUGAUGUUGCACUCCAGGCUUAAUUAGUGAAACGGUGUGAGAGAACUCAAAGCAAUAUCACACUGUACUACAUUGCCUCAGCUGUGUUACCCAGCCAGAUUAAGCAUCUUUAUUGUAUUAAAGCUAGCGUUCUGGAGCCAAGGUUAAUGAAUGGCCAACGUCGUUCAGGCCAGCCCAGCUUAAUCCCCAGAAAACCUCUCACAACAAAUGUUAAUGCAGCCUGAUUUUAAUGUCAUCAGCCGGAUUCACCUCCCCACCCCCAACCCCCACACACACUCUGCCAACAAGUCAUAUUUCCCUAAUGCAGAGAGAAGUGUUAUCCUUAUCAGAUAAAUGUAGCAUGAAUGUCUGUGAUAAAACAUCCACAUCCUCUCAUUUACUCAAAUAUCACAGCGUGGACAGAUGCAUGUGUGCCCCAGGUCGUGGCUUAAAAGACGUCAUUAUUACUCAUUCCAGAAACCUAACAAUUUUUUUUUUUCAUUUCAACUUUUUUUCAACUUUUUUCCAAUGUCCGUCCUUAUAAAUGACUUACCUGUUAAUGAAUGUGCAUCAGUCACAGAAUUUAUGUGACGAAACAUUUUCGACUCAAACACAUAUUAAUGAGUUUACAAGUACCUUCUCAUUAUAAUUAUGUAGAGCAACGGCAGCAUCUUAGUGGGCCAGCAAUCCCUGUGGGAUACAUAAAUCUACCAGGCUAGCAAACUCGCCUACUUUUUACAAAACACUUUACAUGCAGACACAAAUAAUGCCAAACAUCCUUCAUUAUUAACAGCCAGUGCCUUAGUGUGCCAUCUGUAGUUUAACCUGAAAGCGUACACCAUUUUUACCCAGAUGCACCAAAUUUCACAUCCCAUACUAAACAGACUAUUAAGACUCUUAAACUCGGAGGAAAACGGAAAAUGGACUCGAAAAAUCCAAAGUUGAUGUUACAAAAAGUUUCGCAGCAGUCCCUAAUUAAGAGACCGCAAGUCUACGGCCAAUUUAGCAACAUCCUAAUGAAUUUUCAUAAGAGGCGUGCUUGACAACCUCUGGAUGAAAGCAUGACACGUGUUAAACAGAAUGCAUGUCCCAGCCCGAAGUUGUCUGUUGUCCGCUGCAGAUGAGAGUGUGGGCAAGGGGGAGAGCACAGCGCUCCCUCCUUCUUUCUGCUUUGGGAGAAUAAUUAAAGGAAGGCCUGUUGUAAUUAGCCAACCUCUCACUGCGUUUGAGCCUGUUUGCAAUGCUGUAAGAGAAAAAAAAAAAAAAAAACACCACAACCUGGUAUGUGACAAAGCCUCUUUCUUUCCUCGCCAUAUGGGAGCGGCUGGUGAGUGUCACACAUCGCAAGGGGUUACAUGGAACACAGUCAAACGUAUGAGCUUAACAACAGGGGGGAAAAAAAACAAAAAAACAACAAAAAAAAAAACAAAGACAAGCCACCUGAUAAUGCCACUCAUGAAGAAAAAAAUAAAUACCAGAGCGAAAUGCUACUGUAUAUUCAGCCACUAUUCUCUACUUUUGUGAGCUUUAAAGGACUUUGGUCUCGGUGAGAUGUAUAACUCGCUUCGGUGUUCCUGACAACACUAAAGCGGUCGAGAUUAACAUAAAAACCUGACCUUCAGUUGGAGAGUAAUCAUCCUUAAAGGGCUCUUAAAGGGAGCUGGAGAAAGAAAGGGAGGAGAAAAGCUGGAGCCUAAAGUGGCAAGCAGAAGUGUUUUAAAAACACAGGACAGAUUCAGAAAAGGCAAGAAGGCAAGUGGUACAAGAGUGCAUACAUGCUGCAAACAUUAAGCAGAAUAAAGGUCGUGCCACAGUGCCGUUUUAUUGAAUGAAAGAUUAUAGCAGAUAGCUGUUCAGAAAAUGUGUGUGUGUGCAUGUGUGUGCCACUGUGAGUGUGUGUCUCUGCUGGCUGAACAGUGGGGUGACUGCUCCCCUGUCUUCUCACCAUCUGCCCGAGAGAGAGUCUUUCCAACCCAGCCCCUCUGUUCCCCUUUUCCACACACCACUCGUCCUGUUUGGGGCUGUAAGUGUGAGGAUGAUGAGGAGGAGGAAGAGGAGGCGGAGGAGGAGGAGGAGGAGGAAGAGAUUCAGCUAACUUUUCUAAACGAAAAUUCAAGGACGAAGUAUGUGAGGUACAUUCAACCGAAAUGAUAUUCAUUGUACAGAGUGCAGUGGUCCUGCAUGUACUUUAAUUGGACUGAAAAAUGCUCCAUUCAGUUAUUUCAGGAAGAUCCAGGCACUACCUGUGCCAACGCGACUAAUGUAUGCUAUGAGCUUGUUUGGAAAGACUUAGCCUUGUCAGAGCUCAGAGCUCCAUUAGACAAAGAGGAGAAGGGCAGGCUAAUUAAAGAGUGACCGUGUGGCCAGACUAGAGCAAAGACUCGUUUACCCUGGCCCUAUGCUCUCUCCAGCUCUCCUCGCUCUGCUAAUAGAAAAAUAAGCUACUUCACUCAGCAUCGCUCGCAGUGACACCUACACUGGAGGGGGUAAUGGUGUUUAAUGGCCUUUUAAAUUUUUAUUCAGCCAGAGAAUCAUAAAAGGGGAGGCAGGCAGCCACUGGAUCUCUUAAUAACCCCAAUGCUAUGGCAACCCGAGACUCGCUCAGGUCUCGGACGUCACGUGGCUCUGCGGUGGUUGGUCGUGGUUUGAACAUAAAAAAGAAAUGGACGGAAAGUUGGACUGGGGACUGAAAAUGGGAUAAAAACAACGGAAAAGGGACAGUGUAAAAUACAAAGGUCACUGCUGACCACUGUAAUGGUCUUUUUUUUUUUUUUUUUUUGGAUAAUCAUAAAUGUUUUAAAGUUUAAGUGCUGCCAUUCGGUAGAAAUCACAGCCAGACAGCAAAAGCGUUUGCGUAACUGUGUGGAGAAUAAAUAAAGCAGAUGAUAAGAGUGCAAGAAUGAAUAGUUGUGAAAGUGCACAUUUUAGUAUAUGUUGCUUUCUCGAGGGAUCCACAAAUCCAGAGCUGACUGGAAGAGAGCUGUACCUCCAACACACUGAUCCAAGACCAACUGCAGACACAGAAAAAUGGGGAGGGGCGAGAGAGAGACAGAAAGAAAGAGAGAGAGAGAGGCGCAGAAAUGAAAGAGAGAAAAGGAGAAAGAGACUUUAACUUUCGCACUUUCAACUUGCAAACUCAGAAGACAGUACAGCAAACAAAACACCAUGCACUCCACUGUGUAUUGCACUGCAUGGCUUUAUUAUGGUGUACUGUUAAAAAAACAUCUUUUCCUUUGAGCUCUGAGCAACCCAUUUCUGAGCUCCGUCCUCAGCAACUUGAGCAAAACUGAAAGUUUUGAAGAAGUUCUGUGAAUAAAACAGCACUCAAGUGUUGUAGACAGAGCCUGCGUCCUGCAGUCGAACGUGUAACUGGCCUCCGUCUUCACCUCACAUUGUGUAAAUGCAGUGUAUCGCUGUUUUAAUGUCAGUGAUAGACAUCAAAACCCUGUUCUUCUCGAAGCCCAUCUGCUUGCUGCAGAUGUCUCAAUCAAGCAAGCAGCUGUAUGGUGUCUGGGCUGUCAGAAAGGGCCGAGGCUACGCUUAUACAUGCUUCUGUUUAGGCACGCAAAACAUGGACACACUCGCCACAUGCUACCUGACCCAGCAUUCUGCAGCCUGUCAAUCAGCCUUCAGUGGUAGCCCAAUUCCUACAGACACACUCUCUUCUCCAACCCCCCCCCCCCCCCCCCACACACACACACACACACACAAAACAAACACACAUACACAUAUACACACACAUACCCAUAACACCCACAUAUUGAACACAACAUUCAUCUAUCAAGGAGAGUAAAGUGUCUACUGUUUUAUCCUGUAUAUCCAAAGGCAAAGCCAGAGGCACAAUUAAAAAAAAGAUACUGCCUUAAAUAAAAACAGUGGCAUGUGUAGCAGUAUGUCAAUUUCCUAGUCCUGAAGAAUAUAAGAAAUAACAGAAUAUAUAUAUAUAUAUAU
ensembl:lncRNA